UAUUAGCGGCGGACGGGUGAGUAACACGUGGGUAACCUGCCUGUAAGAUUGGGAUAACUCCGGGAAACCGGAGCUAAUACCGGAUAAUAUUUUGAACCGCAUGGUUCAAAAUUGAAAGAUGGUUUCGGCUAUCACUUACAGAUGGACCCGCGGCGCAUUAGCUAGUUGGUGAGGUAACGGCUCACCAAGGCAACGAUGCGUAGCCGACCUGAGAGGGUGAUCGGCCACACUGGGACUGAGACACGGCCCAGACUCCUACGGGAGGCAGCAGUAGGGAAUCUUCCGCAAUGGACGAAAGUCUGACGGAGCAACGCCGCGUGAACGAUGAAGGCCUUCGGGUCGUAAAGUUCUGUUGUUAGGGAAGAACAAGUACCAGAGUAACUGCUGGUACCUUGACGGUACCUAACCAGAAAGCCACGGCUAACUACGUGCCAGCAGCCGCGGUAAUACGUAGGUGGCAAGCGUUGUCCGGAAUAAUUGGGCGUAAAGCGCGCGCAGGUGGUUUCUUAAGUCUGAUGUGAAAGCCCACGGCUCAACCGUGGAGGGUCAUUGGAAACUGGGGAACUUGAGUGCAGAAGAGGAAAGUGGAAUUCCAAGUGUAGCGGUGAAAUGCGUAGAGAUUUGGAGGAACACCAGUGGCGAAGGCGACUUUCUGGUCUGUAACUGACACUGAGGCGCGAAAGCGUGGGGAGCGAACAGGAUUAGAUACCCUGGUAGUCCACGCCGUAAACGAUGAGUGCUAAGUGUUAGAGGGUUUCCGCCCUUUAGUGCUGCAGCUAACGCAUUAAGCACUCCGCCUGGGGAGUACGGUCGCAAGAC
rnacentral:rRNA from 1 species